rnacentral:lncRNA from 1 species
GGGAGGUUAAGGCACUCACUCAAGGUCACACACCUAGUUAAUAGGGAGUCUAGCUUCAAACCCACAUCUGACUGAAUCUAAUUCCACCUACAGCUUUGAAGGCUCAGAAAACAUAACUGCUUGAAAAACUGAGUUAACUCUAUGACUGCCAGGACAAAAGCUUAGGAUUUAGAAAUGAAACAAUGAAUAAGUAGACAUUUUGCUCUCAUUUUGUUAUUUUUUACUUUAUUUUCCAAAUAUGUUUAGGUUAAAGAAAAGAACAUGGGAUUUAGAGUCAAAUAGGCAGGUGUUUUGAUUCUACCCUUGCUAACCCUGUGACCUUUGAAGGCUAAACCCCAAGUGAAGCGACCAGCAAUAAAUACUCAGGUGACUCUAAUGGAAGCCAAAGCAAUGCCAUAUGACAAAGGCAUUGGAUGUUCAUUCAUUUUCCAAGAAAGGGGUAAAAGGACAGCCUACGUUGUCCAGUGGAGGCAGCCUUCCCAUUCCAACGGACAUUUGUGGGAUAUUAGAGACCAAGAAGUGUUAAGAGAUGAUCUUCACAAAAUGCUGAGCUUGUGUGGGUGUCGAACUACAAACAGGAGGAGAUGGAUAUUCACAUGCAGUGGUGGAGGGUUAUGGCUCUCCAGCCUGGAGGAUUGGAGCUUGAGCCAGGAAAGAAGCUUUCAUUUGCAUCAAUAUGCUAGUCCAUGGAGUACACAGAUUGUUCUACAAACCAUAUGGUGACUAAGCCUCAUUAUUGAAUGCAGUUGACAUGGAAACAACUAGUCAACAUCAAAUAAAUAGAUUAUUUUGUGCAAAUAGCUGCCUCUUUGUGACAAUAAUAAAUACUUUAUUUGUAUCAGGAAAAUGUCUAACAAUAAUUCAAUGACAAUUAACAAUACCUUUAUGGCCUUCAAUUGCUUGUAUAUUCUCUCACUCUCUCUGUAUGUAUAUACACACAGACACACAUAUGUAUACAUAUACAUAUAUAUAUAUAUUUUAAGAAAAAUUAUUGAAAUACUAAAGCAAUAAUCAACCUCUGGGAUAGCCUAGCAAUGCAUAAAGUUAUGUCUCAAGGUUUCAAUAUCAUCUCCAUAUAUUCUAUAGCCAUAAAAC